rnacentral:tRNA from 1 species
GGAGAGGUGACUCAGUGGUUAAGAGCAUUGACUCCUCUUCCUGAGGUCCUGAGUUCAAUUCUCAGCAACCACA